UUAAGCUCAUCUUUAUUGGCUUAGCUAAACCCCUUGGCUUGGAACUUAGAUUUCAGCAUAGCUGUGGCUGAAGACCUUUGUAGGUGAGGAGGAGGAGGAUGGUGUGUGGUGGAUGCAGAACAGUUACUGCCUGUGCUGGUUUGGAAUUGUACGGAUUUUAUUCAUUGCCAAUAUUUUGGAAAGGCCUGCUGAAGCCCUUGUUGGCUCUCAGUGAGGUCUGGCACCCCAGAGACUGUCAAAGGUGGCUUUGGAGCAGCCUGUGCUUGGUGCUGCCUUGGCACAGGGAGCCCUCCUGGGCUGGUCCAGGGGUUUGGGGACAGCAGGACACGGGAGGGGACAGCAGGACACAGGAGGGGACAGCAGUGCUGGUCUGGGUGGUUACAGAUGUGACAGGACACAGGAGGGGACAGCAGUGCUGGUCUGGGUGCUCGCAGGUGGCACAGGACACACAUGGGAGGUGCUGCCCUGGCCAGGCCUGGCACUGGUACUGGAAUAGUGUCAGGAAAGGGCACAGUCCUGCUGAGGCACUGGGAAAGCCACACAAUCUCGUUAGCAGACACUGUGCCACCCCAAAGAGGAUUACACUGCAAUAAUGGUUCAUGGGGUGUCUUCUCAUUGCUCUCCCAAGGAGAUUGAUUUAUUUGUCAGGUGUGUGAAUGACAAAACACAAAACUUAUUUUCUUAAGAAAAUGUACAUUUCAUGUAACACUUGAGAUGUGCUCUUCUAAAUAACCUCAUAAUGAUCUACAAGCUUGCCUUGCCUUAAGAAGAUUAAGGAAUUAAUGUCAAAUUACAGACACAACUGCAAAUAGUGUUUGCUGUGUUCAGUGUGCAGGAGGGG
rnacentral:lncRNA from 12 species